rnacentral:rRNA from 1 species
AGUCGAACGGCAGCACAGCAGUAGCAAUACUGUGGGUGGCGAGUGGCGGACGGGUGAGGAAUACAUCGGAAUCUGCCUAGUCGUGGGGGAUAACGUAGGGAAACUUACGCUAAUACCGCAUACGACCUACGGGUGAAAGCGGGGGAUCGCAAGACCUCGCGCGAUUAGAUGAGCCGAUGUCCGAUUAGCUAGUUGGCGGGGUAAUGGCCCACCAAGGCGACGAUCGGUAGCUGGUCUGAGAGGAUGAUCAGCCACACUGGAACUGAGACACGGUCCAGACUCCUACGGGAGGCAGCAGUGGGGAAUAUUGGACAAUGGGCGCAAGCCUGAUCCAGCCAUGCCGCGUGGGUGAAGAAGGCCUUCGGGUUGUAAAGCCCUUUUGUCCGGAAAGAAAAGCACUGGAUUAAUACUUCGGUGUUCUGACGGUACCGGAAGAAUAAGCACCGGCUAACUUCGUGCCAGCAGCCGCGGUAAUACGAAGGGUGCAAGCGUUACUCGGAAUUACUGGGCGUAAAGCGUGCGUAGGUGGUUCGUUAAGUCUGAUGUGAAAGCCCUGGGCUCAACCUGGGAAUUGCAUUGGAUACUGGCGGGCUAGAGUGCGGUAGAGGAUGGCGGAAUUCCCGGUGUAGCAGUGAAAUGCGUAGAGAUCGGGAGGAACAUCUGUGGCGAAGGCGGCCAUCUGG